rnacentral:tRNA from 1 species
GCCCAGUUCGCUCACUCAGAAGAGCGUGCAACUCUUGAUCUCAGGGUCGUGGGUUCGAGCCCCAUGCUGGGUG